rnacentral:misc_RNA from 1 species
GUGAAUCAUCGAAUCUUUGAACGCACCUUGCACCCUUUGGUAUUCCGAAGGGUACGCCCGUUUGAGUGUCAUUGUAAUCUCAAUCCCACGACUUUAUGUUGUGUGAUUGGACUUGGAUCUUGUUGCAGUUGUGACUGAUCCGAAAUGCAUCAGCGUGUGUCCGUCGUGACGAUAAACCGAUUGUUAAACUUCAUCGGGCUCGCUCUGUCGAGGUUGUCUGGCGAAAGCACAUGCUAAACCCCCUACAUUUUGACAAUUUGACCUCAAAUCGGGUGGGAUCACCCGCUGAACUUAAGCAUA